rnacentral:rRNA from 1 species
GGCAGCACGGACUUCGGUCUGGUGGCGAGUGGCGAACGGGUGAGUAAUGUAUCGGAACGUGCCCAGUAGCGGGGGAUAACUACGCGAAAGCGUAGCUAUACCGCAUACGCCCUACGGGGGAAAGCAGGGGAUCGCAAGACCUUGCACUAUUGGAGCGGCCGAUAUCGGAUUAGCUAGUUGGUGGGGUAACGGCUCACCAAGGCGACGAUCCGUAGCUGGUUUGAGAGGACGACCAGCCACACUGGGACUGAGACACGGCCCAGACUCCUACGGGAGGCAGCAGUGGGGAAUUUUGGACAAUGGGGGAAACCCUGAUCCAGCCAUCCCGCGUGUGCGAUGAAGGCCUUCGGGUUGUAAAGCACUUUUGGCAGGAAAGAAACGUCGCGGGUUAAUACCCCGCGAAACUGACGGUACCUGCAGAAUAAGCACCGGCUAACUACGUGCCAGCAGCCGCGGUAAUACGUAGGGUGCAAGCGUUAAUCGGAAUUACUGGGCGUAAAGCGUGCGCAGGCGGUUCGGAAAGAAAGAUGUGAAAUCCCAGAGCUUAACUUUGGAACUGCAUUUUUAACUACCGGGCUAGAGUGUGUCAGAGGGAGGUGGAAUUCCGCGUGUAGCAGUGAAAUGCGUAGAUAUGCGGAGGAACACCGAUGGCGAAAGGCAGG